GGUCGAUUAGAUCAGUUGGUUAGAUCGUGGUGCUAAUAACUUGUUAACGCCAAGGUGAGCAACAACCAAUUACAACUAAAUAAUCAUUCUCUAACAGAAGUAGGUCAUGGGUUCGAUCCCCAUAUUGACCA